rnacentral:tRNA from 1 species
GGGGACGUAGUGUAGUUUGGUCUAGCAUUGGUGCUUCGGGAGCAUCCGACGGGAGUUCAAAUCUCCCCGUUCCCA